rnacentral:lncRNA from 1 species
GGGAGGCUGUUUCCAAUCGACCCUCGGCUCAGUGAAGGAAAGGAAAAACAAAGGGAGAUGGGAUAACUGGAAUACAGCUAUCUAACAAGAAAAUUUGACAAGUAGGAGUCAAAGGGAUCAAGCCUAGCAGAACAAAAGAAUAAUGAACAUGGUUAAGCCCAAAAGAAGAUUCAACCACACGGGCUAAGCAAGGUUGUAGAACCAGUAUACAACCAGGGAGAUGGGGUAAGUCCAUGAUUCGCCUUCAAAGAGCUGGAUAACACCUAAAUUACAAUGGUGCAAGAAGGAUUACAGUUAUUAACCGAGUCAAGAAAAAAUUUUACAGCCAGAAGACUCAGUCAAAUAACCACUUCUCCAGAAAAUAUGGAAUAGAGGAACGUCGACUGAAUGUGGGAGAAGGCAGUUAGCCGAUGUAGCUCUAAACAAUGCACCACAAGAAUGACCAACCCUACAGCUAUAAAUAGAUAGCCAUUUGUGAAUAGAACACACAGCAAAUUAACAAGAGAUACUUUUGUCCUAAUCACUCAAACAUUUAUGCGCUUUUGCUUCAACACUUUCUUCACACACAUGCCUACUUCAGCCUAUACUAUUUAACAUUCAAUAAACCUAUAUAUGAUGUGAAAGGCCGGAUAACAAAGUAAUACAAAUCCAAAUUAUACCGUUGAAAACACUUUAUUGAACAAAUUCAUCACAAUUCGAAAUCGAUUAACAUAAAAGCUAAUGGUUAAAUAGAAAAUCAAUUAUACAUUCAGAAAAUUAGGAAUUUACCUUGCCAAACACUGAUUUUGAGAGCUUCUUUGUUGAGUCCUCUAACAU